rnacentral:tRNA from 1 species
GCCUGGGUGGCUCAGUCGGUUAAGCGUCUGACUUCGGCUCAGGUCAUCAUCUCGUGGUUUAUGGGUUCGGGCCCCACUUCGGGCU